rnacentral:lncRNA from 1 species
AGUAAAUAAACUUUAUUUAUCUGUUUCUCAGAGAUGACACUGCCAACAAUCACAGAUUUGCAUACAAUACAGUUAUGUAUUGGCUAUUCACAAUUUACAGUAGUGUUUUUUCCUCUGAAAAAUAUAAGUACAAAAGCUAAGUAAACAAUGAGGUACUGCCAUUUGGGAUUUUUUACAUGUCUUAGCUUAAAGAACUGGUCUUUAGCAAAUAUUCAACAGAUCAACCUGAAUAAAAUAGUCAAUUAAAUGCUCUAAUUUAUCAGAAAAAAUCCACUAAGUUUCACCUCAAAAUGUAUUGCACAAGUCUUUUUAAAAAAUCACCCUAAAAAUAAAUAGGAAAGGUAAGCCGUUCUUUAAAAAGAAUGGAUGAAAGGAAUAUUAUGUAAGCCCAUAAAGCAGGUUAAGUUAUCAAAAUAUCUUUUAAACAACAUAAAACUCUUCCCAAGAGAAAACUGAAGAAAAAACUAUCACCAUUUCUCCACUGAUAAAAUCUAUUUUAAAGGCAGUCUGCAACUUAUCUGUGGGCCAGAUUUUUCUUGGUCUUUUGGCUACAUGAGGGGCCCUGAAUGACAACUUCAUUCUCAAAGAGUAGCAAGUGUGGACAGUUUUCCAAGCAGCAGUCACCCAAUGUCACUCUUCUUCAAGAUGAAGAUCGGAGCCAUGACUGGAAAAGAAAAAGGAAAAGAGAAUAAAGAAAGGGGGCAAAAAAAUCCAAAACAUUUAGGUUGACUUUUUGGGAUAUUUGUUUUUUCAAGUUUGAAAUAAAAUUCUAUUCCAUGGUCUAGAGACUGCAGUAAAGAGGCAGAAAUAAGGCUGGGUGUGGUAGCUCAUGACUGUAAUCCCAGCACUUUGAGAGGCCAAGAUGGGAGAAUCACUUGAGGCCAGGAGUUCGAGACCAGCCUGGUCAACACAGCAAGACCCCAUUCUGAAAAAAAAAAAAAAAAGUAGAAAUUGUCUAAACACUAAAUCUUAAAGGUAUCUUCUAAAAAUUAACAUUCUUGCAAUGAUGCAAACCAACCUAUAGUCAGCAAUCCUGGAAAAUGGCAUUUCUAAGUGAAAUUUGGAACUGCAACCAUUUACCAUAUAUCGAAUGCUACCAGUUUAUACAGUAACCCAGGAGUAAACACGCUGACUUGGCUGAAUCUCACAAAUAUUGGACUGGAAUUAAAGAUGACAGGCUGGACCCAGUGGCUCAUGCCUAUAAUCCUAGCACUUUGGAAGGCCAAGGUGGAAAGAUCACUUGAGGCCAGGAGUUUGAGACCAGCCUGGCCAACAUGGCAAAACCCUGUCUCUACUAAAAAUACAAAAAAAUUAGCCGGCCGUGGUGGUGCUUGUAACCCCAGCUACUCGGGAGGCUGAGGCAGGAGAAAUCACUUGAACUCAGGAGGCGGAGGUUGCAGUAAGCCGAGAUCAUGCCAUCGCUCUCCAGCCUGGGCAACAGAGUGAGAGACUGCCUCAAAAAAACAAUAAAAAAUAAAGAUGAGAAAGAGCUCUUUCCUCUUAUCCAGUGUGCUGAUUAUUCUACAAAUUGCAAUUCUCCCAGCAUGACAUAAUAGCAAAAGACAAACAGCAUUUUGGUGUGGAAAUUUAUGUCUCAUCUGGAAUUAAGAAAUUUAAUUUAAAAAUUAAAAACAGCCUGGGCAACAUAGUGAGAUCCCAUUGCUACAAAAAAUAGAAAAAAUUAGACAGGCAUGAUGGUGUGUGUCUGUAGUCCCAGCUACUCAGGAGGUUGAGGCAGGAGGAUCGCUUGAGCCUGGGAAGUCAAGGCUGCAGUGAGCUGACUGUACCACUGCACUCCAGGCUUGGCGACAGUGACACCUUGUCUCAAAAAAUAAAUUAAUUAGAAAUGCUGGCUGGGCAUGGUGGCUUAUGCCUAUAAUCCCAGCACUUUUGGGAGACCAGGGUCAGAGGACUGCUUGAGCCCAGGAGUUCAAGACCAGCCUGGGCAACAUGGCAAGACCCUGUAUCUACAAACUUUUUUUUAAAAAAAAUAGCUAGGUGUGGUGGCAUGUGUCUGUGGUCCCAGCUACUCAGAAGGCUGAGGCGGGAGGAUUCCUUGAGCCCAGGAGGUCAAGGCUGCAGUGAACUGUGUUCACGCCACUGCACUCUAGGCUGGUGUGACCAUGCUGGGGGGCAAAAAAAAAAAAAAAAGCUAUGACAUAGCCAAAGUCUUCCUCAUAAUGUUUCUCAAAUGAAAAUGCUGGCCAGGAGCAGUGGCUCACGCCUGUAAUCCCAGCACUAUGGGAGGCCAAGGCAGGUGGAUCACCUGAGGUCAGGAGUUCGAGACCAGCCUGGCCAACAUGGUGAAACCCGGUCUCUACUAAAAAUACAAAAAAUAAGCUGGGUGUGGUGGCGGGCACCUGUAACCCCAGCUACUCAGGAGGCUGAGGCAGGAGAAUCACUUGAGCCUGGGAGGUGGAGGUUGCAGUGAGCCGAGAUUGCGCCACUGCACUCUAGCCUGGGCAACAAGAGUGAAAAAAAAAAAAAUAAUAAAUAAAUAAAUAAAUAAAUAAAUAAAUAAAUAAAUAAAAGCUUAAAAGAACGGAGAAAUGUUGUAUCUUGCCAUUUUAAACCUUGAUACUAUUAUUAGCUGGAUAUUAACAAUCACUGAGAGUAUUUAUUUUAAUUAUAGUGAAGCCCUACUAAUUGUGAUCUGUUUUUGAUUUUGUGAAAAUUCUAGCAAAGGCUGAGGUAAAGAUGUAUGGUACAUUUUCAGAGGGUGCUAAAUCAACCUAAUAGCAUGAAAAAUACAUAGAGAUGAGGGGAGAGGGUUUAAAUGAUGAAGACAGUCAACUGCGUUGAAACAUUUCAUAUGCCUGCAUUUCACUGUAAUAUGUUAAUCAGGAAGAAUCACAUUCAAUUAAAGUAGGCUGCCUAACGGUCUCCUCAGGACAAAUGUGUUGUCUUGUGUUAAACUGUCUGAUUUCAGGAAGUAAUGAAGCUAUAUUUUAAAAUUGAUCUUACUAGUUUUCAUUAUUUCUGACUGGCCUUGACUCAGGCUUUACAGGAUUUUGAAUUCUCACGGAAUAUACCACUUCAUUUUUAUCUAGAAAAUGAUUUUUCAUUUCUCUCUCACAAUCAUAAUUUCAAAGAUCAUUCUUGGAAAAUUAAAAACAAAAGGGAAAAUAAGUUACAUAAAUACUUUUUUGGAUUCUUUAACAAAAUUUCAAAGAGCAAUUUUCAAACUUUCAAUUACUCUUUAAAGAAAUGAAAUUUCCUAAAAUUAUAUAACUCUUACUGGUGGUAGUAAUUUUUAACUAUUAUCGAUCCAUAUAACAGAAUGAACAGAAAAUACUUAUAUUAACCCAUAGCAUAAUCAUAUAUUUAUUAAACAAGAGCAAAAGAAUUCCAGCAAAAUGGUUAGUAUCAGGCAACACAUUUGAUUUUUGCACAAAAGACACAAGACAUUGUUCUUCACUCACCACAUGUUAACUAAGCACAGACUGAUGGUUUACUCAGAAGAUACCACUGCGAGGUGAAGUAAACUACAAAGCCAGGAAGAAAAAAAGCUUAUUGGGUUAGUUUUAAGACUUAAUAUAACACAUAGAUUGUAUGUGUAUAUGAAGUUCAUAGGAUUACAGACUGUACUUAAAUUUUUCUCAAAUCUCCCCAAAUCAAGGGUGUACAGGCAAGGAAUAAGGAAUCUGUAAUACCUCCCCCCAUAUCCUAGGUAAAUAUAAUAUUAUGUAGCUGAGAUUUUACUUGCAACUUUCAUUUGAAGACUUAAACAACGUAAUGAAAGGUGUACUGCAUAUUUUAAGUACAUAUUUACCAGCUGAAUUACGGGGCAAUUAUUUGCUUUACAAAAGGAUCUCUUUCAUAAUUCCAUGAAAGUACACAUUAAAAUUUGAUUUACAUAAUCUCAAUUUACCCUAAAAAGUUUUCGGGAAAAUGAUGAUGAAUUUGAAGAGCCAUGUGUCUAUAUGUUGAAUUCUCAUUCCUAAUGUGUCAAUUUGAUCACUGAAUAACUCUCUUGUAAUUCAACAAUGUAUCAGAAAUGGUUUCAGGAAUGGUGACCCAAACUGAAAUUUCAAUUUAAGGAAACUCAAUCUCAAAUAUAGUUUUUACUGUGACAAACCUUAAAUAAAUUCUAUGCCCCAUUUUAAGAUGGUCAUUGUCCAAAAUCAUUAAUUACCUUCACGGUGAUUUAAAAUGGCAGCAUUAAAAACAAAGAUUGCUUAUAAAAUCUGAGUCUAUUCUUGGAUAGUGUGGCCAACCUCAGAAACAUCAUUUUAUUUAUCUUUCAUAUUUAAAGUUAGUAAAAAGCAGCAAAACCAAAAGACAAGCUAGAAAAUAAUAUGUGCAACACACACAACACAAUGAGGUUAAUAUCCUCUCUGGCAGAAGUAUACAAAAUCCAUGUAUAUGGAUGUUCCCUAUGUCUAUGCUUGUAAAGUACUGAAAAUCUUGAAAACAUAAGUAAAUGGAAUGAGGAGGAAACUGGUGAACUAAACUGUAGGACAUCCAUAUAAUCAUACAAUCAGCCAUUGAAAAGAAUGAGACCAAUUUGUAAUAAGGUGGAAUAAUAUAAAAAUAUAUUAAGUGAAAAAAGCAAGCCAUUGCAUACUCUCAUUUUUAUAAAAUAAAAUGAAUGAUAAAGGAGUAACUAUAAAUAUGUAAUUACAUGGCUUAGAAAACAUGGAGAUAUUCCCCAAACUGUUCACAGAGAUGAUACUGGCAUAGCAGAAGUAGUCUGGAGGCUGAAGAUCAUGAGGGACUCCCUUUCUAUGUUUCUGGCUUAUAAUAUUUUUUCCAGUGAUCACGUAUUACCUUAUUCUACCAACACCAGAAUCAAAACCAAUCUCAAGAAAACAAAUAUGUAUUUGACAUGUGCAAUAUUUUCUAUAAUGUGUCAGUUUUAUUUGUAUGUGUUUCCUGAACCCACCUUGCAUGCAUCUUCUGAGCCCAUGCAGAGGGAAAGGGUAAACCUCGUGUGGGAAUGGAAAACUUUUGUACCUAGCAAUGCUGAAAAGUUCUGAUUUUAUUAAUUCGGAGGAAAUUUUGAAAAUUCCAACAGGGGAAGAAAAUGAGACGUUAAGAGAACACAAGACUGGUCCAGGGCAAGGACUGAUGAAGAACUAUAUACACCACCAAGAAUCAGUGUGAAAGCAAAGUUGAAGGAGAGUCAACAGAAGAGCAAUUGAAAAAGAUGACUAGAAUGGACAGAGAACACAAACAAGCCAACCUUCUCCAUCAAAGAGAAAUUUUCUUUAAUGGAGUCAUCAAGAAAACAGUGAUGUCCAUUUAUGUCAUUACAUUUUGCUAGCACUCUAAAGAGAAAAAUGUCUAAGAAAACUUUUAAAGAGGGGUUUCCAUAUAACAAAGGAAUCUCAAUUCUGAGAUGCUUGUUA